AGAGUUUGAUCCUGGCUCAGGAUGAACGCUAGCGGCAGGCUUAACACAUGCAAGUCGAGGGGUAACAGGAGUGCUUGCACUCGCUGACGACCGGCGCACGGGUGCGUAACGCGUAUAGAACCUACCUUUUACUGAGGGAUAGCCUUUAGAAAUGAAGAUUAAUACCUCAUGGUAUUGCAAUUUGGCAUCAGAUUGUAAUUAAAGAUUUAUUGGUAAAAGAUGGCUAUGCGUCUUAUUAGCUAGAUGGUAAGGUAACGGCUUACCAUGGCAACGAUAAGUAGGGGCCCUGAGAGGGGGAUCCCCCACACUGGUACUGAGACACGGACCAGACUCCUACGGGAGGCAGCAGUGAGGAAUAUUGGACAAUGGAGGCAACUCUGAUCCAGCCAUGCCGCGUGCAGGAAGACUGCCCUAUGGGUUGUAAACUGCUUUUAUACAGGAAGAAACACACCUACGUGUAGGUGCUUGACGGUACUGUAAGAAUAAGCACCGGCUAACUCCGUGCCAGCAGCCGCGGUAAUACGGAGGGUGCAAGCGUUAUCCGGAAUCAUUGGGUUUAAAGGGUCCGCAGGCGGUCAAUUAAGUCAGAGGUGAAAUCCCAUAGCUUAACUAUGGAACUGCCUUUGAUACUGGUUGACUUGAGUCAUAUGGAAGUAGAUAGAAUGUGUAGUGUAGCGGUGAAAUGCAUAGAUAUUACACAGAAUACCGAUUGCGAAGGCAGAUCACUAACAAUAUACUGACGCUCAUGGACGAAAGCGUGGGGAGCGAACAGGAUUAGAUACCCUGGUAGUCCACGCCGUAAACGAUGGACACUAGUUGUUGGGCAUAAGCUCAGUGACUAAGCGAAAGUGAUAAGUGUCCCACCUGGGGAGUACGAUCGCAAGAUUGAAACUCAAAGGAAUUGACGGGGGCCCGCACAAGCGGUGGAGCAUGUGGUUUAA
rnacentral:rRNA from 1 species